rnacentral:snRNA from 1 species
GUUCUUGUUACAGCAGAACAUAUAUUAAAGCUGAAACGAUACAGACAAGAUUGACAAGAAUGACAAGCAAAAUCGUCAAGCCUUUCACAAUGUU